UUUACCUUAGGCUUGUGUCAAUAACCACAAUUUGAAGCCAAAAUUUCACGUUCUGAAAUACUUAUGUCACCACCAAAUUCUCACUCACGUUUUAAAGCCGGUCUUUAUAUUUGCAACGGCUUUGACCAAGCGGACCCCACUUUCUCCCCAAAAUCGCACGUCUAAAGUUGGAAGCACUGAGUUGGACGCAGGCCCGGACGCAGCCGUGCUAACAGCGUCCUUGUUUGGUUGUGCGUCGGACGCCGGAAAACACGCCUAUAAGGAACGGCCUAAACGUUCUCACCUCACGUUCUCAGAACCUUAGGGACAUUGAGCGUUCUGGACGCAAAUUCUCGUGGUCGUCCUCUUUAAGACGUGAGAAUUUGAGAUUGUGUGAUAUCUACUUUUGUUUAUCGUUUGAGAAUUUGGUGAAUGAGAGUAUUUUUUGUUAGGGUAAAAUUUUGAUAGUGGAAAAUGAUGUGACGUUAAUGUUGCAAUGCAUAACGUGAAAAUUUAAGUUUCUUAUUAA